rnacentral:rRNA from 1 species
AGGGCAAGUCUGGUGCCAGCAGCCGCGGUAAUUCCAGCUCCAAUAGCGUAUAUUAAAGUUGUUGCAGUUAAAAAGCUCGUAGUUGAAUUUCGGGGUCAGCAGGUUGGUCGUGCCAAUGGUAUGCACUGGCCUUGCUGAUUCCUCCCUCUUGAUGAGCCGUAAUGCCAUUAAUUUGGUGUUGUGGGGAAUCAGGACUGUUACUUUGAAAAAAUUAGAGUGUUUAAAGCAGGCAAGCGCUUGAAUACAUUAGCAUGGAAUAAUGAAAUAGGACGUUCGAUCCUAUUUUGUUGGUUUCUAGGAUUGACGUAAUGAUUAAUAGGGAUAGUUGGGGGCAUUAGUAUUCAAUUGUCAGAGGUGAAAUUCUUGGAUUUAUUGAAGACUAACUACUGCGAAAGCAUUUGCCAAGGAUGUUUUCAUUAAUCAAGAACGAAAGUUAGGGGAUCGAAGACGACCAGAUACCGUCGUAGUCUUAACCAUAAACUAUGCCGACUAGGGAUCGGAUGAUGUUAAUUUUUUAAUGACUCAUUCGGCGCCUUACGGGAA